CCAGAAGAACAACAAGAAGACCAGAAUGUCUUUCAUCGGCAUCUGCGUCUUGGCCGUCACUUUCUACACCCAAGGGUGUACAGCAGACAUUUUGGUGACCCAGACUCCAGAAUCAUUGGAGGUCCAGCAGGGAGGUUCUGCCACCAUCAGUUGUACAGCCAGCAGUGCCAUCGAUGAUGACUUAGCCUGGCACCAUCAGAAACCAGGAGGAGCUCCUAAAUUCAUCAUGACUUUUAGCAGUGGUUUCACUAAAGGUCGAUACAAAGGCAGUGGAUAUGAUAUUGAGCUCAAUCUGACCAUCAGCAAUGUCCAGGCAGAAGAUUCAGGAGUUUAUUACUGUCAGCAACAUGAUGCCUUUCCAUUCACACAGUGA